rnacentral:rRNA from 1 species
GGGUUGUGAGGUUAAGCGACUAAGCGUACACGGUGGAUGCCCUGGCAGUCAGAGGCGAUGAAGGACGUGCUAAUCUGCGAUAAGCGUCGGUAAGGUGAUAUGAACCGUUAUAACCGGCGAUUUCCGAAUGGGGAAACCCAGUGUGAUUCGUCACACUAUCAUUAACUGAAUCCAUAGGUUAAUGAGGCGAACCGGGGGAACUGAAACAUCUAAGUACCCCGAGGAAAAGAAAUCAACCGAGAUUCCCCCAGUAGCGGCGAGCGAACGGGGAGCAGCCCAGAGCCUGAAUCAGUGUGUGUGUUAGUGGAAGCGUCUGGAAAGGCGUGCGAUACAGGGUGACAGCCCCGUACACAAAAAUGCACAUAUUGUGAGCUCGAUGAGUAGGGCGGGACACGUGGUAUCCUGUCUGAAUAUGGGGGGACCAUCCUCCAAGGCUAAAUACUCCUGACUGACCGAUAGUGAACCAGUACCGUGAGGGAAAGGCGAAAA